GGAAUAAGUAACUCAAAAUUUAAAAAAAAAAAUUAGUUUCUGAAACUAAAAAUGUAGAAACAUAAGAAGAACUACUACUUGAAAUAGAAGAAAGUCUCUGGAGAAGAACUUUCUUUUAUUAAAAUACUUAAAAUGUCGUAUUAAUCGACGGUUUUAAAUAAUAUAGUACAUUCUAUUACUUAAUGAUAAGUCGCGCAACUACUGAUCAAUUUAAGUACAUGAAAAUCUAUAUUACAACGAUAUUAGGUACAUGGAUAUAUGGUAUAAACGAGUGAUUGGAAUAGGAUCACUCAAGAACUUUUAGUGAUAUGAUAAUUGCUCCAUGGAUAUGGAGAAAUUUGUUGAAGAAAAUUAUUUUUAAUUAACCUGACUUGACAAAACUUGAUGUAUCAAUUUUUAUGGUCUUUAUGAUCUUAAAGACCAAUUGGACGUUCCAGAAUGUGUAUAGGAGUUACCUUCUUAGUAUCAAAUGAUGUUUCUUGGUGAAUACCUGUAGAUGAAGAUGUAUCAUUACAUUCCAAAAACUUCAUAGUUUUAUCUUUAUAGCAUUUCCAUAGCCAAGACGAUACAUGAGACACCUAUUCCAAUUUAUAACGGGAGAGGAUGGUUGGAAUGUAUUUAAAAUGGAUCCAUUUAUUGAUAACUGUGUGAAAUUUAUAAUUACUGUGGCUGUUGGAACUGUUGAAUGAUUUUAUAAUUUAGAAGAUACAUGAGACACCUAUUCCAAUUUAUAACGGGAAAGGGUGGUUGGAAUGUAUUUAAAAUGGAUCCAUUUAUUGAUAACUGUGUGAAAUUUAUAAUUACUGUGGCUGUUGGAACUGUUGAAUGAUUUUAUAAUUUAGAAGAUACAUGAGACACCUAUUCCAAUUUAUAACGAGAAAGGAUGGUUGGAAUGUAUUUAAAAUGGAUCCAUUUAUUGAUAAUUGAGUGAAAUUGAUAAUUACUGUGGCUGUUGGAACUUGAAUGAUUCUAUAAUUUAGAAGAUACAUGAGACACCUAUUCCAAUUUAUAGGUGUCCCGCAACUGCGGGAUUUAAGAUCCAAGUACAAAUCUCUGUAUUUAAACAUUGAGAUAUUUUUUCAGAGAAGGUAAAUACUCCUAUUGUCAAAUUUCUAGUAGUAAAUGUUUGGCCAUUAAAUCUAGCAUGCAAAUAUUUAAUGUUGCCAAAAUUACUGUACUAUAUACUAUAUUUCUGAUA